GCUACUAUUUAGUGACGUCAGCUGAUGGUGAGCGAACCUCGGAAGAAAAUUGGAAGUUUUCAUGGAUUUAAGUUCAUAGCAUUAUCAGUGCGUCGGAAUUAAAAGUUUGGAAGGCAUGAAUAGUGAGAACAAUCAUAUUUGAACCCAGUGCUACACGCAAACCGUUAGGCAUAUCCGAUUUCUAUGGUUAAUCGAAGCCCGAAUCAACAAGGAGGUCAAAAUGGCGUUGCACACCUUGUAUAUUUAUAUAUAGAGGAGAUGGAAAGAACUCAGCACAGGUGUGAAUAUAAAGGAUGCGACAAAAUUUACCAACAAAAUGGGAAACGGACUUUGCAUAUGAAAAUUCAACAUAGCUUUAGUGACAUCGGUGACUUACUUGUUUUGCUUUUGUUGUUUUUGUUUGGUAUUUAACAUUAAAGAGAGAUUGCUUGCGUAUGGUAUCUGGUUAUACCUACUUCCGUUCAUAUCUAUCAGCAUUUUACAAUCUGAGAGUUGUCCCUUCUUUAUGCUUUCUUCUGAAACAUUUAAAAGCAAACUUUACAGUAGGGAAGAAAUUUCACUUUGUAUACACGGAUGUUUCGAGUGAUGCUUGUGUCAACAUAUUGUGUCAACAAUAUACUGGGGUUAUUUCAAUCCUUUUUCCAAAAAAUCUACUAACUCCGGUGGUACCAUGGACAGAAUUUACUCAAACCAACUUUGUGAUAAACUACAUCUCAAUUUUUGCAAAUCAAUACAUGGUGUACAUAAGUCUGCAACAAACUUUACCGUACUGUCGGAGUUCACUUUGACAUAUUAAAAAGUAUGUUAAGUUACUGGUACAGACUUGAAAAUCUUGGUCAGUCAUUUCCACUAUUGUUUGAUGCAUAUCGAGAAUCAAAAUUGCUUUUUGAACAAAACAAUUCAUCAUGGUUUGGUUCUAUAAACUGUUUCAUAACCAAUAUUAAUGGGAUUAAAUAUUUGCCCUUUAAAGGGGCAUACCAGUUUAAAAAGGCUCUUAAAGACUGUUUAUUCAAACAUUACAUCAAAGAAUGGCAUUCACACCUUUCAUUAAAUUCAGAUAAAAAAACUAAGUUGCUUUUCUACUUUUAAACAAAACUUUGGUUUUGAGAAUUAUUUGAGAUCAAUUACAAAUUUUGAGCAAAGGAGAAGUCUAACACGUUUCCGUAUAUCAGCUCAUAGACUAAACAUUGAAAGGGGACGUUACCAAAAAAUCCCUCGACAAGAGAGAUUUUGUCUAAGAUGCAACAACAACUCAGUGGAUGACGAAAAAAAAAAAUUUAUUCUCAUGUAGUCAUUUUUCAGAAGAAAGGGUUAUUCUAUUCCAAAUGAUAGACAAAUCAUGUAAGAAUUUUGUAAAGUUGGACAGUGAUCAGAAGCUUAUCUGGCUAAUGACGAAUGAAGAUGAAAAUAUCCUCAUCCAAAUUAGUAAGAUGAUUUUAAACAGUGGGAUAUAAUACUACAAAUGUUACAUUUCAUUGCAUUAUGCACAUUUUCUUUCUUCAUCAUAUUCUACACCUGUAGGCUGUCUUGGCUACUGAGAGUACAAGACCAACAGUCUGGUACAACAAUUUACUACCAGAUUGUUAACAGGCACUGUCACUUGGUGCUCCCUGUAAUCAGGUCAACAUAUCGUGUUUUUAUUCUCUCAUAUAGCGCUAUUAUCUUUUAUAUAAGUAUUUUAACCUUCCUGCUUUAGACAUAAAACAUUCAGAAUAACUGGAUCCUACGUGUACAUAUGUAAUAUACUUGCAUACUGUAUUCAGUAAGAUGAUUUUGAACAGUGUAAUGUGAUACUGCAAGUACAUGUCGUUGCAUUCUACACAUUUCCUUCACUUUACACUUGUAAGCUGUCUUGGUUACUGGGAGUACAAGAUCAACAGUCUGGUACAAUGAAUUAAUUACCAGACUGUUAACAGGCACUGUCCCUUGGUGCUCCCUGUAAUCAGGUCAACAUAUCGUGUUUUUAUUCUCUCAUAUAAUGCUAUUUUUCUCUUUUAUGUAAGUAUUCUAACCUUCCUGCUUUAGACAUAAAACGUUCAGAACUGGAUCCUGCAUGUACAUAUGUAAUAUACUUGCAUGCUGUAUUCAGUAAGAUGAUUUUGAACAGUGUAAUUUGAUAUUACAAGUACAUGUCUUUGCUUUGUACACAUUUCCUUUGCUUUACACUUGUAAGCUGUCUUGGUUACUGGAAGUACAAGACCAACAGUCUGGUACAAUAUAUUUACUACCAGACUGUAAACAGGCACUGUCCCUUGGUGCCCCCUGUAAUCAAGUAAACAAUUCACGCCUUCUUUAACACUUCGUGCAAUUGAUCUUACAUGUACAUGUGUUUUAUACUUGCAUACUGUUCUUACUGAAAUAUAUAAUUAUACCGAUUUGAUUACAAUUGCAAUUUUAUAUGUGUUCACACAACACUAUCAUUAUCUGCUAUCCCAGAAACUGAUGUGUGAAGCAGUUGGGUUAUUUUAUUUAUCAUGUUGUUAAUUUAAAUCUUGUCUGUAAUCAGUAUUUCAUAUAUAAUUAUAGAUAUGUGCAGUGCAGAAGUGUGAACUAUGUCAGUAUUACCAGUAGUACUUCUAAAUGAGUGUUAAUUAUUUUCAUUGUUAUAAUAAAUUGCCUGUUAACAUGUGCAUGCCCCCCCCCCUCCCCCCGAGGGCCCUUGAUUGGUGAAUAAACUAAUAAAUUAAUAAA